rnacentral:lncRNA from 1 species
CUACGGUUGACAAUGGGAGAAGAGAUGUGUUGAGCCUGACCAUUGUGGGAGCAAGCACUCAACAGCACCAAAGUCCCUUGUAUAGAGACCCACCUCUGUGGCAAGCCACUGGCUGGAUGAAAGCACCAAGAACUAAAACCACUUGCAAAAGCUCUGAGCAAAUAACUGAAGUAAUUUAGGAUGAAACCUGGGAUUGUCAGGCUGCUCACAUGCUUUCCUCUGAGGAGCAAGAAAUUGCUCUUCCAGGAGAUGCUUUUCAAUAAUUUCUAAGAGCUAAAGGACUUCAUUAAAAACCAUGCAAGCAUUGAUCCAGAUGUUAAGCCUCUCUGUACAAUGAGAAGCCCUCUUGGAAAGCUGUGAAGAAUAAUUGGUUCAUUGUUAUCUGGCCCUGAGAAAAGAGAAGAAUAUUGUCUAUUUAUUCAAUGUUACUAUAUGGAAGAAUUUAUUUCAUUGUUCGCCUCCUGUUUGAAAUGAAUUUAAUUAUAGUUGUUCCAUGUAAUUAAAGUGUAGGUAAACAUUCAGUUUCAACCUAAAUGCCAUACCAUAGCAGUGAAAUUCGUUAUUGUUGCUAAAUCUGAUUAGAAAAAAACACAGUAGAGUGUUCUUAUGAGAAGUGAAACAGGCUCAUUUUUAAAUAACCAGCGCUAAGCAGAAGUAAUAUUGCUCAGUUGUUCCUUGGAGACAUUUAUUCUCUUAUUUCUCAUUUUUAUAUUACUUUUUUACCAAAGCUUCUAUCAAAAUUUAACUAGGUCUCAUGCCCUGGUAAGAAAGGCCUCCUGAUACUGGCCUAUUCCAGCAGAAGUCUGAAGCCAUCAUCACUGUGUUUCACCACAGACAGAAAAUUAAUUCUGUACUUGUUAAGUCAUCUCCUUCCUUCACUAUAGUUUUAACGGGGUAAUGUACUUUUAGAGAAGGCAGGAGAAAUGACAAGUUUGCCUCACUUAUCCGAAAUAGUGGUCAGAAAAUGACAAAUUUCAAAUUCUUCCUUGAGGAGAAGGGGAGAAAAGAAAAGAAAGAUACCAGAAGUAAAUGC